rnacentral:rRNA from 1 species
UACGUAGGGCGCGAGCGUUGUCCGGAUUUAUUGGGCGUAAAGAGCUCGUAGGCGGCUUGUCGCGUCGACUGUGAAAACCCGCGGCUCAACCGCGGGCCUGCAGCCGAUACGGGCAGGCUAGAGUACUGCAGGGGAGACUGGAAUUCCUGGUGUAGCGGUGGAAUGCGCAGAUAUCAGGAGGAACACCGGUGGGCGAAGGCGGGUCUCUGGGCAGUAAACUGACGC